GCGGCUUAAAACGUUGGUUUCGACAAAUCUUUCGUACGAUAAAAAUCGGAAUCGGAAGUGCUUAACUUGAAAGCGUAUUCGCAAAGUUAUGUAGUAAAUGUAAUGAGGAAAUAAAGCAAGUAAGAGGGUUUGCAGUAAUGUAAAUAGCAGUAAUGAAAUGCAAACCAGAGAUUACGUCGUUUUUAAAGUGGUUUGGUCAAAUGACCUACAUCCACUUGCGAGGCCCCUCUUCGAUGAGGCUCCCACCUUCCACUAGCAAAUCUCUUGAAAGGGAAGGAUAAAUACCCCUCUUACAACUUUUACAAGC
rnacentral:lncRNA from 1 species